ACGGAAGCUUGGUAAGGCCAAGGCCACACCGGAAGAGAAGGUGUGAUCUCCCGAGCCAGGCGUCCCAGCACGGAUCACCGGAACCCACGCGGAGCACAUGCCGCCAUACAGGCAGAAGCGUUGUGGGCCUGCGGAAUUCCGAAAAGCGAAUGGCGUCGACGGCCUCUUGGGUGGGGUCGCAGUCGUAGCGCAUCGGGAGAACGCCGAGGCCACCCACACAACCCACCAGAGCACGCUUGGUAACCGGAGUCCGUGCUAGCGGGCGGCGAGCCGAUUCGGACGAGAGUCCGAUCACGGAUCGUCGCCCGCUUCAUUUG
rnacentral:ncRNA from 1 species